AGUGAACGCUGGCGGUAGGCCUAACACAUGCAAGUCGAACGGCAGCACAGUAAGAGCUUGCUCUUACGGGUGGCGAGUGGCGGACGGGUGAGGAAUACAUCGGGAUCUACUUUUUCGUGGGGGAUAACGUAAGGAAACUUACGCUAAUACCGCAUACGACCUACGGGUGAAAGCAGGGGAUCUUCGGACCUUGCGCGAUUGAAUGAGCCGAUGUCGUAUUAGCUGGUUGGCGGGGUAAAGGCCCACCAAGUGGACGAUCCGUAGCUGGUCUGAGAGGAUGGUCAGCCACCUUGGAACUGAGACACGGUCCAGACUCCUACGGGAGGGAGCAGUGGGGAAUAUUGGACAAUGGGCGCAAGCCUGAUCCAGCCAUACCGCGUGGGUGAAGAAGGCCUUCGGGUUGUAAAGCCCUUUUGUUGGGAAAGAAAAGCAUCAGGUUAAUACCCCGCUGUUCUGACGGUACCCAAAGAAUAAGCACCGGCUAACUUCGUG
rnacentral:rRNA from 1 species